rnacentral:rRNA from 1 species
UACGAAGGGUGCAAGCGUUAAUCGGAAUUACUGGGCGUAAAGGGUGCGUAGGCGGUUGUUUAAGUCUGUCGUGAAAUCCCCGGGCUCAACCUGGGAAUGGCGAUGGAUACUGGACAGCUAGAGUGUGUCAGAGGAUGGUGGAAUUCCCGGUGUAGCGGUGAAAUGCGUAGAGAUCGGGAGGAACAUCAGUGGCGAAGGCGGCCAUCUGGGACAACACUGACGCUGAAGCACGAAAGCGUGGGGCGCAAACAGG